GACGAACGCUGGCGGCGUGCUUAACACAUGCAAGUCGAACGGAAAGGCCCGUCUUUUGUGGGGUGCUCGAGUGGCAAACGGGUGAGUCACACCUUGGUAGCCUGCCCUUGACUUUGGGAUAACUUCAGUAAACUGUGGCUAAUACCGGAUAGGGACGCCUGCUGCUGGGUGGGGGCUGGAAAGUUUCGGCGGUUGGGGAGGGACUCGCGGCUUAUCAGCCUGUUGGUGGGGUAGUGGCUUACCAGGGCUUUGACGGGUAGCAGGCCUGGGAGGGGGACCGGCCACAAUGGGACUGAGAGACGGCCCAGAAUCCUACGGGAGGCAGCAGUGGGGAAUAUUGUACAAUGGGCGGAAGCCUGAUGAAGCAACGCCGCGUGCGGGAUGACGGCCUUCGGGUUGUAAACCGCUUUCGCCUGUGACGAAGCGUGAGUGACGGUAAUGGGUAAAGAAGCACCGGCUAACUACGUG
rnacentral:rRNA from 1 species